rnacentral:lncRNA from 1 species
CAGCUAAAUAUCAUGGUAUUAAGCUGGAGUACCAUGAGUGCAGACACACAGUGUUAGACCUGCUGAAUCAACUCAACAUUAAACUGCGAUCUUGGAAAAGAGCCUACAUUUCCCAGGAGGCUGUUCGUGUGCUAAUGCAGGACUGGAAUGAGACUGUGAACAAACAGGAACUGACUUCUUUGCUGGAUGGAGCCCUCCAUAGACUCAAACUAAUCGCCAACAAAUACACCAGCAAGGCUGCCUUGGCUGGAGACUUGACUCAGGUAAAUCAUCAGGUGGCUGAUAUGGAAGCAGAUGUGACAGUGACUCUGGAGGGUGUACGGAUGGUGAGGGGUACUAUGGGCCGUGUUUUGGCAGCAUGGGACUCUUACAGUGAUAUCUACACCUCAUUGCGCGCAUGGCUGGAGCAGGGUCCACAUGGCCAGCGACACAGGCAGAGAACAGAGGUGACAUUAUCAGUAAUGUCAGAGUGGAGUUCUCGCCAAGCUCACCUGAAUGAGGUGGCCAACUACUUGACAGAGGUCACAGACCCACAGUCUAGCCGCACUAUUUCAGAUGAACUCUGCAAGAUAAAUCUGCUCUGGGCUGACUUUGCCAAAACAGCCCAAUUUUCUUUAGUUGAGGAGCCCAGUGCUGGCCCAUCUAGUGCUCAGACAGUUCAGUCUCUGAUAAGGGAGGCCACUCAGUUACUGAAAGAACCUGUGGAGGUGGUUUCUGG